AACCAAAUAAUAAAAAUAAAAUAAAGGACAAGUAGUAAAGUAUAGUAUGAAACUGAGUGAUUAUUUAGUAUUUUAGUUUUAGUUUGGUAUUUCAAAGGAAAAUCUCAUUAAUGUAGGUAAUUCAUACUUGACUGUCUGACCAAACAGUUUUGAGCUUCUGAAAAAUGAUAAUUAAUAAUUUCAUGUUAAGUUCCCUUCCUAAAAGAAUUUAUGAAAAAUUACACUGAAUCAAUUUCACAAUGCAGACACUGUUUAUUUCCAUUUUAUUAGUAAUUGUAACAAGUCUGCAUUAGUAUAUAUUUAUUUUCAUUAAUGUAAAUAAAAUAAAUAAUGUUUUUGUUA